rnacentral:rRNA from 1 species
GCAGGCUGCAACUCGCCUGCAUGAAGUUGGAAUUGCUAGUAAUCGCGAAUCAGCAUGCCGCGGUGAAUACGUUCCCGGGCCUUGUACACACCGCCCGUCACACCAUGAGAGUUGGGAAUACCCGAAGCCUGUGAGCUAACAUUUAUGAGGCAGCAGUCGAAGGUAGAAUCAAUGAUUGGGGUGAAGUCGUAACAAGGUAUC